UUUCUUUUUCUUUCCCUUUUUUAUAAAAAAUUGAUUUUGUUUUUAUUUAUUUUUUUAAAAUGAAGUUGGGUUAUCUCAGUGAUGAUUUCACAGAUGACGAGUCUGAUAUAUCCAUUCCAUUCAAUAUGAAGACGAAUCGAGGGCUGCUGAAUCAAACGACGAUGUGAGGUGAUGCAAAUGUAGCUGAAGAAUCGCGUCGAUUGAUCUUGUUAUUAGAUGUUUAUGGAUCUAAUUACUAUUAAGAUUAGGGGUUUUACGGUUUGCAAAAGUGUUGUUGCAUUUUUUAAUUUUAUCAAAGUUUAAAUGUUUAAUAGAUGAAUAGAUUUGUAAUAUACUGGAAGUGUGUUAAAAGUCAGUUUUAUUACCUAUUGUGGUCGUCUGGUUAAGUUCUAAUGUGACUGGAAUCAACCCGUAGUGCUUUGAUU
rnacentral:lncRNA from 1 species